CUCAACAAUAAGCAAGGAAAGAAAAAUUACAGACACCCUGGUGUGGUGGCUAGAACACUCAGGCCCACCGACACCGAAGGCAAUGAGGCAGUUUAACAGCGCCCAAGCUAAACCAGUAUUAUUGUUAAUAAAUAACCACAAACAAAAACAACAAAAAUUACACCAGCAACAAAGUACAGCUGAUAUGCAACACAGCAGAGACGAGGCACGUAAAGACAGACCAAGCAACCCAACCAAAGCAGAGCCAGUAAGCGAAUCAGCCAUGCAAAAUGCCCGUAAGGAAAGCAGUCAAGCAAAACAAUAAAGAAAACGACGGUCAAGCAAAACAGAGGAGUCACAUGUAGCGUCUUCAGCUAGGGAUUUGUCUUAAAGAUCCUGAACGCCGCACUCUUACAUUAACAAAGAUCGGAGAGUCAACCUAAAUCUACCGAGUCCUAAUGUGAGAAACGGAGAGGUGUACUUACCACUGUGUUGAACAAACACCAGACGCGAAGUUGUACGAUUACUCCGAUACCGCGGUUCAAUAUUCAUAUUUAUAUACAGCCACCAGAUAAUGUUGCUCUCACUGAACGCGAUCUACACCAUGAUCUCGCCACAGCACAUGCUCCCCACUAUAUAGCGCUAUAUUUAUAUUUAUUUAUUUUUAUAUUAUAUAUCUAUAUAAAAAAAAUUUUUAGCCUUGAGAUGUUCACCUCAUUACACCGUGAGACAGGCCUUGAUCAGGGCCAAUAGCAUAGUUAACUUACUUAUCCUGCCACAUUCUACCCCUUUUUAUUUGAAUCGGCGUCCCGACGAUGACCCAACGAACACACCCCUGGACUCUUUUGGGCUUGCAUCCCGCCGCCUAAACCAAACCAAAAUUCUAUUUACAUGUAGGGCCUGGUAUAGUGAGUGCUCUCAUGCCCCCCUCCUCCACGGCCCGUGGUAGAUGGUACAGGUUUGAUUGGUGGCCUGCAGUGGCCCGCCCCCUUCUGCGCAAGGGGAUGUUAUCCGUACAUGACCGUACCAUUACCCUAACCCUUAUACAGGGCACAAAGCUGCCGUACCAGGGAGGGCUCAAAAGUUACAGCCCUGGUCUGAAUGAAUACGCCCAGGAAUACUGAACUUAUAAAACC
ensembl:lncRNA